UCCGUAGGUGAACCUGCGGAAGGAUCAUUAUCGAGUUCUGACUGGGUUGUAGCUGGCCUUCCGAGGCACGUGCACGCCCUGCUCAUCCACUCUACACCUGUGCACUUACUGUGGGUUUCAGAUCUGUGAAGCGUGCUCCUUGCGGGGCUUCGUGAAGCGCGUCUGUGCCUGCGUGUAUCACAAACUCUAUAAAGUAUUAGAAUGUGUAUUGCGAUGUAACGCAUCUAUAUACAACUUUCAGCAACGGAUCUCUUGGCUCUCGCAUCGAUGAAGAACGCAGCGAAAUGCGAUAAGUAAUGUGAAUUGCAGAAUUCAGUGAAUCAUCGAAUCUUUGAACGCACCUUGCGCUCCUUGGUAUUCCGAGGAGCAUGCCUGUUUGAGUGUCAUGAUAUCUUCAACCUACAAGCCUUUGCGGGUUUGCAGGCUUGGACUUGGAGGCUUGUCGGCCCUUUGUCGGUCGGCUCCUCUUAAAUGCAUUAGCUUGAUUCCUUGCGGAUCGGCUCUCGGUGUGAUAAUGUCUACGCCGCGACCGCGAAGCGUUUGGCGAGCUUCUAACCGUCUUCGCUUGAGGACAGCUUUAUGACCUCUGACCUCAAAUCAGGUAGGACUACCCGCUGAACUUAAGCAUAUCAAUAAGCGGAGGA
rnacentral:rRNA from 1 species